GACGAACGCCGGCGGCGUGCUUAACACAUGCAAGUCGAACGGUAAGGCCCUUCGGGGUACACGAGUGGCGAACGGGUGAGUAACACGUGGGUGAUCUGCCCUGCACUUCGGGAUAAGCCUGGGAAACUGGGUCUAAUACCGGAUAGGACCCUGGGAUGCAUGUCCUGGGGUGGAAAGCUUUUGCGGUGUGGGAUGGGGCCGCGGCCUAUCAGCGUGUUGGUGGGGUGAUUGCCUACCAAGGCGACGACGGGUAGCCGGCCCGAGAGGGUGACCGGCCACACUGGGACUGAGAUACGGCACAGACUCAGACGCGAGGCAGCAGUGGGGAAUAUUGCAGAAUGGGCGCAAACCUGAUGCAGCGACGCCGCGGGAGGGAUGACGGCCUUCGGGUUGUAAACCUCUUUCAGCACCGACGAAGCGCAAGUGACGGUAGGUGCAGAAGAAGGACCGGCCAACUACGUGCCAGCCGCCGCCGUAA
rnacentral:rRNA from 1 species